rnacentral:rRNA from 1 species
AGCUAAUACAUGCAAACAGAGCUCCGACCGGAAACGGAAGGAGCGCUUUUAUUAGAUCAAAACCAAUCGGUGGCGGGUUCGCUCGUCAUCGUACAAUUUGGUGACUCUGAAUAACUUUAAGCUGAUCGCACGGUCUCGUACCGGCGACGCAUCUUUCAAAUGUCUGCCUUAUCAACUGUCGAUGGUAGGUUCUGCGCCUACCAUGGUUGUAACGGGUAACGGGGAAUCAGGGUUCGAUUCCGGAGAGGGAGCCUGAGAAACGGCUACCACAUCCAAGGAAGGCAGCAGGCGCGCAAAUUACCCACUCCCGGCACGGGGAGGUAGUGACGAAAAAUAACGAUACGGGACUCAUCCGAGGCCCCGUAAUCGGAAUGAGCACACUCUAAACCCUUUAACGAGGAUCAAUUGGAGGGCAAGUCUGGUGCCAGCAGCCGCGGUAAUUCCAGCUCCAAUAGCGUAUAUUAAAGUUGUUGCGGUUAAAAAGCUCGUAGUCGAAUUUGUGUCUCGCGCCGCCGGUUCAUCGUUCGCGGUGUCAACUGGCGUGCCGCGAGACGUCCUGUCGGCGGGCUUAGCUCGCAAGGGCGGCCCAACUUAAUCCCGCCGCGGUGCUCUUCAUUGAGUGUCGAGGUGGGCCGGCACGUUUACUUUGAACAAAUUAGAGUGCUUAAAGCAGGCUAAAACUUCGCCUGAAUACUGUGUGCAUGGAAUAAUGAAACAGGACCUCGGUUCUAUUUUGUUGGUUUUCGGAACCCCGAGGUAAUGAUUAACAGGAACGGAUGGGGGCAUUCGUAUUGCGACGUUAGAGGUGAAAUUCUUGGAUCGUCGCAAGACGGACAGAAGCGAAAGCAUUUGCCAAAAACGCUUUCAUUGAUCAAGAACGAAAGUUAGAGGUUCGAAGGCGAUCAGAUACCGCCCUAGUUCUAACCAUAAACGAUGCCAGCUAGCGAUCCGCCGACGUUCCUCCGAUGACUCGGCGGGCAGCUUCCGGGAAACCAAAGCUUUUGGGUUCCGGGGGAAGUAUGGUUGCAAAGCUGAAACUUAAAGGAAUUGACGGAAGGGCACCACCAGGAGUGGAGCCUGCGGCUUAAUUUGACUCAACACGGGAAACCUCACCAGGCCCGGACACCGGAAGGAUUGACAGAUUGAGAGCUCUUUCUUGAUUCGGUGGGUGGUGGUGCAUGGCCGUUCUUAGUUGGUGGAGCGAUUUGUCUGGUUAAUUCCGAUAACGAACGAGACUCUGGCCUGCUAACUAGGCGAAUUAGACAUCUUAAAGGCCCCCGGCUUUCGGGCCGGCGCGGUUUUUACUGUCUACGUACAUUAUAUUCUUCUUAGAGGGACAGGCGGCUUCUAGCCGCACGAGAUUGAGCAAUAACAGGUCUGUGAUGCCCUUAGAUGUUCUGGGCCGCACGCGCGCUACAAUGAAGGAAUCAGCGUGUCCUCCCUGGCCGAGUGGCCCGGGUAACCCGCUGAACCUCCUUCGUGCUAGGGAUUGGGGCUUGCAAUUGUUCCCCAUGAACGAGGAAUUCCCAGUAAGCGCGAGUCAUAAGCUCGCGUUGAUUACGUCCCUGCCCUUUGUACACACCGCCCGUCGCUACUACCGAUUGAAUGAUUUAGUGAGGUCUUCGGACCGGUACGCGGUGGCGUUCCGACGUCGCCGAUGUUGCUGGGAAGAUGACCAAACUUGAUCAUUUAGAGGAAGUAAAAGUCGUAACAAGGUUUCC